GGCGUGGUGGAGCAGGUGGUAGCUCGCAAGGGUCAUAGCCUUGAGGUCACAGGUUCAAGUCCUGUCCACGCAA
rnacentral:tRNA from 1 species